UACGGAGGGUGCAAGCGUUAUCCGGAUUCACUGGGUUUAAAGGGUGCGUAGGUGGGCAGGUAAGUCAGUGGUGAAAUCUCCGGGCUUAACCCGGAAACUGCCAUUGAUACUAUCUGUCUUGAAUACCGUGGAGGUGAGCGGAAUAUGUCAUGUAGCGGUGAAAUGCUUAGAUAUGACAUAGAACACCAAUUGCGAAGGCAGCUUACUACGGGAACAUUGACACUGAGGCACGAAAGCGUGGGGAUCAAACAGG
rnacentral:rRNA from 1 species